rnacentral:rRNA from 1 species
AACGUAGGGGGCGAGCGUUGCCCGGAUUCACUGGGCGUAAAGCGCGUGUAGGCGGUCCGUUAAGUCGGAUGUGAAAGCUCUGGGCUUAACCCAGAAAUCGCAUCCGAUACUGGCGGACUUGAGGACGGUAGAGGUCGGUGGAAUUCCCGGUGUACCAGUGAAAUGGACAGAUAUCGGGAGGAACACCAGUGGCGAAGGCGGCCGACUGGGCCGAUCCUGACGCUGAGACGCGAAAGCCAGGGGAGCGAACCGG